rnacentral:rRNA from 1 species
AUGGAUUACAACACUAAGAUUGUAUUUUGGAAUGUGUGCGGCCUUAAUAGCAGGGCUAAGCGCACCUCGGUCCAUAGUGUGAUCUCUGCUGCAAACUCCUGUAUAGUUUGCCUUCAACAAACCAAACUUCCGAUGGUAUCGUCCAGUCUUGUCGUUGAAACUCUAGGCAGUAACUUCGCCGAGUUCUACUGA